rnacentral:rRNA from 1 species
AUGAAGCAAAAGAUUGUCAUCCAAUUGAGCAUGUCGUGCGACAAGAGCAGGUCCAAAGCCCUCACCGUGGCCGCCAGAGCAGCCGGGGUGACAUCCAUGGGGAUAACCGGCGACGCGAGGGACCAGCUGGAGGUGGUCGGCGACGGCGUCGACCCGGUGUGCCUCGUCAGCUGCCUCCGCAAGAAGCUCGGCCACGCCCAAAUCAUCAAGGUGGAGGAAGUGAAGAAGCCGGAGGAGAAGAAGAAGGAGGACCCGAAGCCGCCGGCGCCCAUGCCCGUGCCCGUGCACCCGCCGCCGUACUUCUACCCGCCCAGCUCCUACUACCCCCACCAGUACCCGCCGCACUUCUGCGACGAGCAGCCCGGCAACUGCCGGACCAUGUAA